rnacentral:rRNA from 1 species
GAUGAACGCUGGCGGCGUGCCUAAUACAUGCAAGUCGAGCGAACGGACGAGAAGCUUGCUUCUCUGAUGUUAGCGGCGGACGGGUGAGUAACACGUGGAUAACCUACCUAUAAGACUGGGAUAACUUCGGGAAACCGGAGCUAAUACCGGAUAAUAUUUUGAACCGCAUGGUUCAAAAGUGAAAGACGGUCUUGCUGUCACUUAUAGAUGGAUCCGCGCUGCAUUAGCUAGUUGGUAAGGUAACGGCUUACCAAGGCAACGAUGCAUAGCCGACCUGAGAGGGUGAUCGGCCACACUGGAACUGAGACACGGUCCAGACUCCUACGGGAGGCAGCAGUAGGGAAUCUUCCGCAAUGGGCGAAAGCCUGACGGAGCAACGCCGCGUGAGUGAUGAAGGUCUUCGGAUCGUAAAACUCUGUUAUUAGGGAAGAACAUAUGUGUAAGUAACUGUGCACAUCUUGACGGUACCUAAUCAGAAAGCCACGGCUAACUACGUGCCAGCAGCCGCGGUAAUACGUAGGUGGCAAGCGUUAUCCGGAAUUAUUGGGCGUAAAGCGCGCGCAGGCGGUUUUUUAAGUCUGAUGUGAAAGCCCACGGCUCAACCGUGGAGGGUCAUUGGAAACUGGAAAACUUGAGUGCAGAAGAGGAAAGUGGAAUUCCAUGUGUAGCGGUGAAAUGCGCAGAGAUAUGGAGGAACACCAGUGGCGAGGGCGACUUUCUGGUCUGUAACUGACGCUGAUGUGCGAAAGCGUGGGGAUCAAACAGGAUUAGAUACCCUGGUAGUCCACGCCGUAAACGAUGAGUGCUAAGUGUUAGGGGGUUUCCGCCCCUUAGUGCUGCAGCUAACGCAUUAAGCACUCCGCCUGGGGAGUACGACCGCAAGGUUGAAACUCAAAGGAAUUGACGGGGACCCGCACAAGCGGUGGAGCAUGUGGUUUAAUUCGAAGCAACGCGAAGAACCUUACCAAAUCUUGACAUCCUUUGACAACUCUAGAGAUAGAGCCUUCCCCUUCGGGGGACAAAGUGACAGGUGGUGCAUGGUUGUCGUCAGCUCGUGUCGUGAGAUGUUGGGUUAAGUCCCGCAACGAGCGCAACCCUUAAGCUUAGUUGCCAUCAUUAAGUUGGGCACUCUAAGUUGACUGCCGGUGACAAACCGGAGGAAGGUGGGGAUGACGUCAAAUCAUCAUGCCCCUUAUGAUUUGGGCUACACACGUGCUACAAUGGACAAUACAAAGGGCAGCGAAACCGCGAGGUCAAGCAAAUCCCAUAAAGUUGUUCUCAGUUCGGAUUGUAGUCUGCAACUCGACUACAUGAAGCUGGAAUCGCUAGUAAUCGUAGAUCAGCAUGCUACGGUGAAUACGUUCCCGGGUCU